UACGUAGGGGGCGAGCGUUGUCCGGAUUUAUUGGGCGUAAAGAGCUCGUAGGCGGCUUAGCAAGUCGGGUGUGAAAACUCCAGGCUCAACCUGGAGACGCCACUCGAGACUGCUAUGGCUAGAGUCCGGUAGGGGACCACGGAAUUCCUGGGUGUAGCGGUGAAAUGGCGCAGAUAUCAGGAGGAACACCGGUGGCGAAGGCGGUGGUCUGGGCCGGCACUGACGCUGAGGAGCGAAAGCGUGGGGAGCAAACAGG
rnacentral:rRNA from 1 species